GGUCUCGUGGCCGAGUGGCUAAGCAGAGCUCUCCAAAAGCUCCUACGGGGGGUCGAAUUCGCUCGAAACCU
rnacentral:tRNA from 2 species